rnacentral:rRNA from 1 species
AGCGGCGCACGGGUGCGGAACACGUGUGCAACCUGCCUUUAUCUGGGGGAUAGCCUUUCGAAAGGAAGAUUAAUACCCCAUAAUAUAUUGAGUGGCAUCACUUGAUAUUGAAAACUCCGGUGGAUAGAGAUGGGCACGCGCAAGAUUAGAUAGUUGGUGAGGUAACGGCUCACCAAGUCAAUGAUCUUUAGGGGGCCUGAGAGGGUGAUCCCCCACACUGGUACUGAGACACGGACCAGACUCCUACGGGAGGCAGCAGUGAGGAAUAUUGGACAAUGGGUGAGAGCCUGAUCCAGCCAUCCCGCGUGAAGGACGACUGCCCUAUGGGUUGUAAACUUCUUUUAUACUGGGAUAAACCUACCCUUCGUGAGGGUAGCUGAAGGUACAGUAUGAAUAAGCACCGGCUAACUCCGUGCCAGCAGCCGCGGUAAUACGGAGGGUGCAAGCGUUAUCCGGAUUUAUUGGGUUUAAAGGGUCCGUAGGCGGACUCGUAAGUCAGUGGUGAAAUCUCAUAGCUUAACUAUGAAACUGCCAUUGAUACUGCGGGUCUUGAGUAAAGUAGAAGUGGCUGGAAUAAGUAGUGUAGCGGUGAAAUGCAUAGAUAUUACUUAGAACACCAAUUGCGAAGGCAGGUCACUAUGUUUUAACUGACGCUGAUGGACGAAAGCGUGGGGAGCGAACAGGAUUAGAUACCCUGGUAGUCCACGCCGUAAACGAUGCUAACUCGUUUUUGGGUUUUCGGAUUCAGAGACUAAGCGAAAGUGAUAAGUUAGCCACCUGGGGAGUACGUUCGCAAGAAUGAAACUCAAAGGAAUUGACGGGGGCCCGCACAAGCGGUGGAUUAUGUGGUUUAAUUCGAUGAUACGCGAGGAACCUUACCAAGGCUUAAAUGGGAAUUGACAGGUUUAGAAAUAGAUCCUUCUUCGGACAAUUUUCAAGGUGCUGCAUGGUUGUCGUCAGCUCGUGCCGUGAGGUGUUAGGUUAAGUCCUGCAACGAGCGCAACCCCUGUCACUAGUUGCCAUCAUUCAGUUGGGGACUCUAGUGAGACUGCCUACGCAAGUAGAGAGGAAGGUGGGGAUGACGUCAAAUCAUCACGGCCCUUACGCCUUGGGCCACACACGUAAUACAAUGGCCGGUACAGAGGGCAGCUACUAUGCGAAUAGAUGCGAAUCUCGAAAGCCGGUCU